GGCUGGUCCGAUGGCAGUGGGUUAUCAGAACUUAUUAACAUUAGUGUCACUAAAGUUGAUAACCACCCCCCCACUGCUAAAUUUGACUGGCUUAAA
ensembl:misc_RNA Y_RNA Y RNA